UACGUAGGGUGCAAGCGUUAAUCGGAAUUACUGGGCGUAAAGCGUGCGCAGGCGGUUAUGGAAGACAGGUGGGAAAUCCCCGGGCUUAACCUGGGAACUGCAUUUGUGACUGCAUAGCUAGAGUACGGUAGAGGGGGAUGGAAUUCCGCGUGUAGCAGUGAAAUGCGUAGAUAUGCGGAGGAACACCAGUGGCGAAGGCGAGUCCCUGGACAACACCUGACACUGAGGCACGAAAGCUAGGGGAGCAAACAGG
rnacentral:rRNA from 1 species